rnacentral:rRNA from 1 species
UACGGAGGGGGCUAGCGUUGUUCGGAAUUACUGGGCGUAAAGCGCACGUAGGCGGCUUUGUAAGUUAGAGGUGAAAGCCUGGAGCUCAACUCCAGAAUUGCCUUUAAGACUGCAUCGCUUGAAUCCAGGAGAGGUGAGUGGAAUUCCGAGUGUAGAGGUGAAAUUCGUAGAUAUUCGGAAGAACACCAGUGGCGAAGGCGGCUCACUGGACUGGUAUUGACGCUGAGGUGCGAAAGCGUGGGGAGCAAACAGGGAUUAAGAAACCCC